rnacentral:rRNA from 1 species
CCUGCCAGCCCGCUCAGAACUACAAGGAAUUGACGGGGCCGCACAAGCGGAGGAGCAUGUGGUUUAAUUCGAUGAUACGCGAGGAACCUUACCUGGGCUCGAACGUAAGAUGACUGUAGGUGAAAGCUUACAUCUCUUCGGAGCAUUUUACGAGGUGCUGCAUGGUUGUCGUCAGCUCGUGCCGUGAGGUGUCGGGUUAAGUCCCAUAACGAGCGCAACCCUACCUUUAGUUGCCAUCAGGUUAAGCUGGGGACUCUAAAGGAACUGCCUACGCAAGUAGUGAGGAAGGCGGGGAUGACGUCAAAUCAGCACGGCCCUUACGUCCAGGGCUACACACGUGCUACAAUGGCCGAUACAGAGGGCAGCUACCUGGUGACAGGAUGCAAAUCUCCAAAGUCGGUCUCAGUUCGGAUCGGAGUCUGCAACCCGACUCCGUGAAGUUGGAUUCGCUAGUAAUCGCGCAUCAGCCAUGGCGCGGUGAAUACGUUCCCGGGCCUU